AAUGAACGCUGGCGGCGCGCCUAAUACAUGCAAGUCGAGCGAGAAGACGUAGCAAUACGUUUGUAAAGCGGCGAACGGGUGAGGAAUACAUGGGUAACCUACCCUCGAGUGGGGAAUAACUAGCCGAAAGGUUAGCUAAUACCGCGUACGCUUCUUGGACUUCGGUUCAGGGAGGAAAGCGAUACCGUGGGUAUCGCGCUCUUGGAUGGGCUCAUGUCCUAUCAGCUUGNGGUGAGGUAACGGCUCACCAAGGCUUUGACGGGUAGCUGGUCUGAGAGGACGAUCAGCCACACUGGCACUGCGACACGGGCCAGACUCCUACGGGAGGCAGCAGUAAGGAAUAUUGCGCAAUGGGCGAAAGCCUGACGCAGCGACGCCGCGUGGGGGAUGAAGGCCUCGGUU
rnacentral:rRNA from 1 species